UUCUGGCUCAGAACGAACGCUGCGGGCAGGCUUAACACAUGCAAGUCGAACGGGCGUAGCAAUACGUCAGUGGCAGACGGGUGAGUAACGCGUGGGAACGUGCCCUUCGGUUCGGAAUAACUCAGGGAAACUUGAGCUAAUACCGGAUACGUGCGAGAGCAGAAAGAUUUAUCGCCGAAGGAUCGGCCCGCGUCCGAUUAGCUAGUUGGUGAGGUAACGGCUCACCAAGGCGACGAUCGGUAGCUGGUCUGAGAGGAUGAUCAGCCACAUUGGGACUGAGACACGGCCCAAACUCCUACGGGAGGCAGCAGUGGGGAAUAUUGGACAAUGGGCGCAAGCCUGAUCCAGCCAUGCCGCGUGAGUGAUGAAGGCCCUAGGGUUGUAAAGCUCUUUCGCCAGGGACGAUAAUGACGGUACCUGGAUAAGAAGCCCCGGCUAACUUCGUGCCAGCAGCCGCGGUAAUACGAAGGGGGCUAGCGUUGUUCGGAAUCACUGGGCGUAAAGCGCACGUAGGCGGAUCUUUAAGUCAGGGGUGAAAUCCCGAGGCUCAACCUCGGAACUGCCUUUGAUACUGGAGGUCUCGAGUCCGGGAGAGGUGAGUGGAACUGCGAGUGUAGAGGUGAAAUUCGUAGAUAUUCGCAAGAACACCAGUGGCGAAGGCGGCUCACUGGCCCGGUACUGACGCUGAGGUGCGAAAGCGUAGGGAGCAAACAGGAUUAGAUACCCUGGUAGUCCACGCCGUAAACGAUGGAUGCUAGCCGUUGGGCAGCUUGCUGUUCAGUGGCGCAGCUAACGCUUUAAGCAUCCCGCCUGGGGAGUACGGUCGCAAGAUUAAAACUCAAAU
rnacentral:rRNA from 1 species